GAUGAACGCUGGCGGCGUGCCUAAUACAUGCAAGUCGAGCGAACAGAUGAGGAGCUUGCUCCUCUUACGUUAGCGGCGGACGGGUGAGUAACACGUGGAUAACCUACCUAUAAGACUGGGAUAACUUCGGGAACCCGGAUCUAAUACCGGACAAUAUAUUGAACCGCAUGGUUCAUUAGUGAAAGACGGUUUUGCUGUCACUUAUAGAUGGAUCCUCGCCGCAUUAGCUAGUUGGUAAGGUAACGGCUUACCAAGGCAACGAUGCGUAGCCGACCUGAGAGGGUGAUCGGCCACACUGGAACUGAGACACGGUCCAGACUCCUACGGGAGGCAGCAGUAGGGAAUAUUCCGCAAUGGGCGAAAGCCUGACGGAGCAACGCCGCGUGAGUGAUGAAGGUCUUCGGAUCGUAAAACUCUGUUAUUAGGGAAGAACAAAUGUGUAAGUAACUAUGCACGUCUUGACGGUACCUAAUCAGAAAGCCACGGCUAACUACGUG
rnacentral:rRNA from 1 species